rnacentral:misc_RNA from 1 species
GUCCAGAUGACAGGCAUCACAAGAGGACUCACAAUUUUGUACAACAAUCAGAAAAGGUUUGGUGAAGUGAGUGAAUGGUGUGAUAAGCCGACUGUGAAGGUGGCAGUCACAGUCGAUGCUCCGGCUGCUGUCAAACUGGUAAUGGACCGACUUAUCAAAUAGUACAGUAUAAGAGUUACCAGUUAGAGAUUCCAUAUUCAUUGUUUUAUGUUAUAUCAG